rnacentral:siRNA from 1 species
UGUGAUGAUGAACAUAAGUGCU